UAGGGAGAGAUUACUGCGUUAGUUAAUGACCUCUAGCCUCCUUAACAUGGCAUAACACGUUUUAAGGCCUUGAGGCCCAUGGGCCAAAGAGGACAAUAUUGUGCAAGGUUAAUGGGGCAGGGGCAUUACAGGUUUGGUCAUCCUAUUUUCUGGAUUUUGUUCUCCUUUUUUGGUCCUAUUUUCUGGUUUCUGUUAAGACUAAUUUGAGGGUUCAGAUUUGAAUUGGUUUGGGCCAUUUAAAUAUUGGGAGUUUGUUUACCUAGUGUGAACCUACUUCUACAUUAACAAGUGUCUGCUGCUGAUCAAUCUGUGCUGGUCGAAUCUCCUUCAGUUAGGGGUUUGAAUGGUCUUCAAAUAUUAGCCUUGAUGGACUGAUGGUUGAAGGGUAAGUUGUCUGGAAGUUGCCAGAAAAUUGACUCAGAAUAGGACUGUUGCAAGUCUUGAAAGCCACCCAGAUAACAGAAACAGUAGCAGAUCUUGAAUGGCCCUUAUCUCUUGGUCCAAGCUUUAUCUUGGGUGCUUAGACAAGAAACCCCACAGGCCUGCCAAGGACUGACAAAGGGCUGGCUGAUAGGGGAAUUGGUUCUUGGCCUAAUCUCUUUUAUUUCCUUAUUUCUUUUAAAGGUUGUUAUUCAGUUUUAAAUUUCAGUUACUGAUAUUGGUACAAGCUGCGACGUUCUGUUAUCAGCCAGCAUUUUUUGUAAGUAAUGCUUUAAUUGCUCAACGUUUCCCCUUUAUGGGUGUUUCAGGGAUCAGAGUCCAGGUCAAGAGUGUGAAUUGAGAGUUGGAGCGAACAUACAAAAGAGCAGUACUUCUUGGCUAUAGGAUCAGAAUCUAAUAAUUCAGAUUGCCCUGUUCGGUUUCUUUGGAGGCAUGUAAUCAUCACAGUUGACAAGUUGAGUGUAUCUGGGGAAUUGGAGUUACGAGAACAACCAUUUAUUCUUCCUCAGACUGGAUUAGAAUACUCCUCUACAUGUCCAUAAAUCCUUAUGGGGUAAUGGUAAGAUGGGAAUUUCAUCAUGUUUCAAUAUUGAAAAAAUUUUGUAAUCAAGAAGUUUGGUUCUUUAAUGGUCUUUGGAGAGAACAAGAAUAAAAUGUUAAAAAAGGGCAUACCCGAUACACAAGGCUCCCGCAUGUGCGAGAUCCCGCCGGGGGGGGGGAAGGCGAGAACUACGCAGCCUUACCCCGAGAAUUUCGAGAGGCUGUUUCGACCGCUUGUCCACCCGGUUGCAACAUGUGUACCUUACUGUUGGACCAAGUGCGCCCCUCAAACAAGAAUGAAUUGUUGAUGUUCAUAAUUUUGAAUCCUCUGAAUUUGACACUGAAGCCAGAGAAUUCACCAUCUGAAAAGCUGCUUCAUCAGCUCUAUAAUUUUUUCAAAAUUGAGGCCAAGGGCUAGUGGUUGCGAGCUCUCCAGGGUAUAUCAAUGGCAGCCUCAUAGGUGACAAUGGAUUUGAUCCUCUUGGAUUUGCAGAGGACACUGAGAACGUGAAAUGGUUUGUGCAGACAGAGCUCUUUAGCGGUCUUUGGGCCAUGUUGGAUGUAGCAGGGAUGCUGCUGCCAGAAGUUUUCACAUAGAUCCGUAUCAUCUAUGUACCAAAAUGGUAUGUUGCAGGGGAAACAGAAGAAUUUUCUCCCUUGUCCACCCUCUUUGUGAUUGAGUUAUCCUUGUUCCAUUACGUGGAGAUCAGAAGAUGGCAAGAUAUUAUGAACCCAGGAAGUGUCAACCAAUAUCCCAUCGUCAGGAACUACAGCUUGCCUCCCAAUAAGGUUGGAUACCCAGGUGGGAUCUUCAACCCCAUUAAUUUUGCAUCAACUCUAGAGGCCAAGGAGAAGACCUUACCGAUGGGAGGUUUGCGUUGCUGGCUUCCUUGGGUUCUUAAUGUAGAACUAGGAUUGACACAGCAAUCAAGCCCCAGUAUUGCAGGAUUCCAUCAAAGAACAUCCACAAACAAGGAAUGCAUGCAAGCAGCUGGAGAAUAAGGGAAGAACUUACUUUCACUGAAACCAUCUUCCCAAAGAAACAUUUAUGGUGAACAAAAAUAUCCAGCAAUAUUGCUCAAAGUGGGAACUAUCUGUCUGGAUAAACCUGAAUGCACGUGUAAGUGAAAAAAUCAGAUCUAUGUUAUGGAGGACUUGAAGUCUUCGAUUCAUUUUAUACCUACCAUGCAAAUUAGUUGGUUCUUAAUCCAGUAAUAUAGUAAAAUUAGCAUAUUUCAUGGUUGCUCUAUUAAUAGCUUCUGUGUUAUUUUGCAAUCAGGCCAGACUUUUUGGUAUCUCCAUGUUUAUUGUAAUAUAGUCUAAUAUUGGAAUUAUUCUUUUGAUGAUAUUUGUAAUACCAUCUUUAAUAUGGGUUACGUUGA